UUUGUCAAUAAAUUCCUUGUGAGAAUGAAAAUUUACCGCGACUAAGUAAUGUUAAAACUCAUUUAACCUAUAACCCGAGAAUGCGUUUUAUCAAUCAUAUUUUUACGAUUUCUUUUUUUUCUCAUGCUAUUCUGGAAUUGACCAAUGAUUCCACUUAUCUCUAUUGCAUUUUUAAAGACGAGAAAAAGAAAAAAAAAUCCAUAAAGAAUUAAAAGAAAUGAAAAAAAAUAGUCACUUUGCGAUUGCUUGGAAUAAUAUUUCGAUAAAACGUAUUCUCACAGGCAAGCAGCCAUGAUUUAAUAUUGAACGAGUAAUCGAAGCGAGGCAAGCUGCUUCUUCGAUAUAUCGCUCGAAUGUGACUCUCGAUAGCGUGACGAUACGCUAAUAUCGGAAAUGGCGGAUGUGAAUGUGUCACGUUUUGAAUAUUCAAUAUUAUUUUGUAGUAAAAAAAAAAAAAAAUGAAACGAAAUGAAAGAGACAAAUAGAAAUUUAUAUAAAGAUGCGUAUUACAUUUCUAAAUAAGUGAAUAUUUCUAAACUAAAAUGCCGAUUAAAAAUUAAAGGUAAGAAAAUGAGGUUAGAAAAUUUCGUUGUUAAAUAUUAAACAUAUAAUAGCGAAAAUAACAUGAGAAAAUGAUAUUCGUGAAUAAAAUAAAGUGAGAUAAAAUUUUCCAAUAACAUGAACAAUAUAAUUUUAAAAAUAAAAAAAAUAUAAAAAGAUAAAAUGUAAAAGGUAAUGUUGACAAAGAUGUAAUUAAAUAUAAAUAAUGUAAAUAUUUUUUAAGAUGAUAGAUUGCAAAAUGAUAUAAUGAAAUAAGAAUGUAGGAAUAAAAAUUGAACAAAUGCAAAUUUUAUUUCUAAGUAUACGUUUCUCUGUAUAUUUUUCGUGCAAGAGGAUGCAAUGUAAAGAAACUAAAUUGCUACGCAAGAAGAAUCAGACGUAAUCCGCUUUUAAAAUGCAAUGUAGAUGCAAGAAGUACUAAUUAUGAGAGAAAAUGCAAGUCGUGUUUCCAAAUAUUUAUCAGAUAAUUAUAAACGAAGACGCAAUAUGAAGAAUUGAGGUUAUCUUGCAAGAAACUGAAGCUGAUUCAUUCAACGAAAAAAUGAAUCACCCAACUAUCGAACCUAAAAUAUCUAAUCUGAAAAGAUUAGACGUAAAGGAUUUGUAACUUCAUUUUUAAAUAUUUAUUAUAGCAUAAUCAAGCAAAAACACAAUACGAAUAACCAAAAAUAUCACGCAUGUAAGAAGCGAAAGCAAACCACAAUUUUUAGUUGCACAAUAUGCGACAAAUACAACAUAAAGAAAGAGAAUAAAAUCAAACUGCACUUUCAAACAUCCGAAAUAAAAUAACCAAGCAAGGAACGCAACACUUUCAAACGAAUGCAUUUCGCAAGAAAACAAAUCAACUAUAAACCGCGUUUCCUAGUAAAAAAAAAAAAUACCUAGGAAUAUGCGUCUCCAUAAAACGAAGCGAGUGUCUGCCGUAUUUCCAAAUAAAAUUUAUCGUGUAUCAACGUAGAAGGGCGUGAUGCAAGGGAUAUAUGUGGAAAGACGUUUCCACGCGGCUGUGAGGUAAGAACGCAAGUUAGGUCUUAUCGCAUCGAAAUCCACCGUUUCACUGGCAUGACGGUGCUUUAUCCAGCGGAAAGAGCUUCUAAUAUCGCAUGCCGUUUAUCGAUUUAUCCCUGGGACGACACACUACCGACACGUAUUGCGGAUCGUACGUUUCCAGUAGCAUUCGUGGCAUUUCCUCCAACAGCAUUGCCGCGAUUUACAUAAGAAUUUCUGACUGUGUUCUGACGCUUUUCGAGAAAAAAAAGAGGAGGGAAGAAAAGAAAAGAAAGGAAAUGGAGAGGAAUAGAAGAUGAAGAAGGAAGUAAAUACUUAUAGGAGGAGGAAGAAGGGAGGAGGGGCGAUGGAUGAAAAACGGAGGAGAAUCGAUAGUCUCUCGAGAAGGUGUCACUACGUAUGGAGCACCAGAUUUACCCACGUCACCGACUACUCAAGCAUCCUGAAAUAGCAUACUUUUCUUCAUCGAUCAGUCUCGGUCGUCUGCACCAAUCUAGUCGCUUGCAACCCCUCUCGAGGAGAGAAGACCGAGGGUCGAGGUUAACCAGUUCCUUACUCGCAGUUAAAUUAUUCGAGAAGACCAACCUAUUUGGGUGGUCUUGUUAAAUUACUUAUUAAACGUUGGAUAACGUUUUGUAAAUUUUCAAUUCGAUUGAUUUACUUAUAUAGAUACGCAGAUAGUAUUUUUGAUGUAAUUUGUAAUUAAUUGUAGAAAAUAGCAAUGUUAAAUUUUUCUCUCAAGCAAAAAAUUAGAUUGAGUUUUUAAAGUUUAACGCGAUAAAAUUGAUGUCGUUUAUAUUUAAAAAUGUUUCUUCCUGGUAUAUACAAGUGGUUUGGAUUAGAUAACGUGAUUACCUUGUUUCUUAUAUAGUCCAUGUUUUCCUUAUCAAUUUUUAAUUCGUGUAAGCAAGAAUAUUUAUUCGAAAAUAUGGUAAUCUUGAAAAAACUAUUAAAAAAUAAAAAUUGUAUUUUUUUUACAAAUGUAAAGUCUAUUUGAACAAGAUAAUAUUUCGUCGUAUAUACGAUAGAAAUGUGAAGAAAGGGUUGAUUUUAAUGGGAUAAGUGAAGGUUUGCAGUACAUGGCUCAUGCUGAAUUCUCCAUCAAAAA